GAUGAACGCUGGCGGCGUGCCUAAUACAUGCAAGUCGAGCGAACGGACGAGAAGCUUGCUUCUCUGAUGUUAGCGGCGGACGGGUGAGUAACACGUGGAUAACCUACCUAUAAGACUGGGAUAACUUCGGGAAACCGGGGCUAAUACCGGAUGAUAUUUUGAACCGCAUGGUUCAAAAGUGAAAGACGGUCUUGCUGUCACUUAUAGAUGGAUCCGCGCUGCAUUAGCUAGUUGGUAAGGUAACGGCUUACCAAGGCAACGAUGCAUAGCCGACCUGAGAGGGUGAUCGGCCACACUGGAACUGAGACACGGUCCAGACUCCUACGGGAGGCAGCAGUAGGGAAUCUUCCGCAAUGGGCGAAAGCCUGACGGAGCAACGCCGCGUGAGUGAUGAAGGUCUGCGGAUCGUAAAACUCUGUUAUUAGGGAAGAACAUAUGUGUAAGUAACUGUGCACAUCUUGACGGUACCUAAUCAGAAAGCCACGGCUAACUACGU
rnacentral:rRNA from 1 species